AGAGUAUCAAGAUGGCGGCAUGUCCUUGGACAAAAAAGCCGAUAUAAAAUUUAAAACAAAACUGGCUCGUAAUUACUUGCUGAAAAUUGCUGAAAGACUGAAAAAUAUCAUCGCGAGAGAAUCUGGCGACACGAUGACCCUGAAACACCUCCUUAUCAAAGCUGGGGACUAUGCAGAGGACGACGCUAUGGUGGCCAAUUUUAAACAAACAGUCACCAAGUUCCUCGAGUAUGUUCACGUACUGAUAGA